CGUGUAGCCGGGUCGGCAAGUCAGAUGUGAAAUCCACGGGCUUAACUCGUGAACCGCAUUUGAAACUGUUGAUCUUGAGUAUCGGAGAGGCAAUCGGAAUUCCUAGUGUAGCGGUGAAAUGCGUAGAUAUUAGGAGGAACACCAGUUGCGAAGGCGGCUCUCUGGACUGUAACUGACACUGAGGCACGAAAGCGUGGGGAGCAAACA
rnacentral:rRNA from 1 species